UACGAAGGGUGCAAGCGUUACUCGGAAUUACUGGGCGUAAAGCGUGCGUAGGUGGUUCGUUAAGUCUGCCGUGAAAGCCCCGGGCUCAACCUGGGAAUGGCGGUGGAUACUGGCGGACUAGAGUGCGGUAGAGGGUGGUGGAAUUCCCGGUGUAGCAGUGAAAUGCGUAGAGAUCGGGAGGAACAUCUGUGGCGAAGGCAGGUCUCUGGGCUGACACUGACGCUCAUGCACGAAAGCGUGGGGAGCAAACAGG
rnacentral:rRNA from 1 species